GAAGAGUUCAGGUGAAGAAUGAGAGGAAGAUGAAGAGAAAAUCAAGUUCAAAGAACACAUCUGAAGCAGAGCUCAGUAUCCAGAUAAAUACCCAAACAGAGCGGCAGUAAUUCAACUCUUACAGGAGGAAGGCACUACGGAAGAGUCCACUUUACCCGAGAGGACGUCUGCUUCCCAAUCAUCAUCAAUUUCAUGAGGAAUCUCACUGAUAGGCAGUGGGAGGUGAUUCAGGAGGGCAUGAGAAAUCCUUUCCCAGACGUCGUUGCAGAGGGCACAUCGAGUAGACGCUCGACUGACAGAUCCUCUGAAUGCCCUCUUUGGGAUCACAGAGGCCACAAUUCUCCAAACACUUGGUGAUCAAUCCUGCUCUUCUGGCUCACCUGGAUUGACCAGAUCUGUAGUCAGAGAUGUCGUGAGUCAGGUGAACUCUGACAUCUCACUGAUCAUCUCCUGUUCCAGCUCAGGUAAAUCAAGACCAGUGUUGUGUGACACUGGCAGGCGAUAUACCAUGCAGGCCGCCCAGAAACUGGUGUCUUAUCUGUGCCAAGUUGCGGAAAUUUGGAGUCACUGGACAGGCUGCGUCUCAAGCCAAAACCAAUCCAUCUAAGGAGAAUGUGGACAUUGAGGCUUCCCUUGCACUGUCAACAGGAGAGGUCGUGGCUGUUAUGGUCAACUCCAGAGAAUGCCAGGGAGGAGAGUAAAGAACAAUGGAUGUGCUUCGAGAAAUCGCACAAAGUCCCCAAAAAAG
ensembl:lncRNA